AAAGGGAGACCUAAUUCAGGUAGGAGACGAAAAAAAAGUAGUCCCUACUAAGAAUCAAUCCCAAAAGGUCGGAGCGAGGCAAAAUUGGCUUUCAAACUAGGUUCUGGGUUCACACAAGACCUGAAUCAGGAACAAGGGCUAUUAGCUCAGGUGGUUAGAGCGCACCCCUGAUAAGGGUGAGGUCCCUGGUUCGAGUCCAGGAUGGCCCACCUGUACAGGUGGCAAAAAGAAAGAAAAGAAGCGAGGAAUCAGCACCUUAUCUUACUUAUAUAGUAAGAGAGAAUGCUGGCUCUGAGUUCAGAGUCCAGAGGAACCUUGAAAACUGCAUAGAGCUAGGUGAAAAAGCCAAAAAAGAAGACCGCAAG
rnacentral:tRNA from 1 species